AUUGAACGCUGGCGGCAGGCCUAACACAUGCAAGUCGAGCGGAGCGGCGGACGGGUGAGUACUGCCUAGGAAUCUGCCUGGUCUUCUUGGCUACCGUCCGGACACUGUCGCUAAUCCCGCAUACUAUCCGAUGACCCUAGGUCGGAUUAGCUAGUUGGUGGGGUAAAGGCCUACCAAGGCGACGAUCCGUAACUGGUCUGAGAGGAUGAUCAGUCACACGGGACCGGAGACACGGUCCAAACUCCUACGGGAGGCAGCAGUGGGGAAUAUUGGAAAAUGGGCGAAAGCCUGAUCCAGCCAUGCCGCGUGUGUGAAGAAGGUCUUCGGAUUGUAAAGCACUUUAAGUUGGGAGGCGUUACCAACAGAAUAAGCAACGGCUAACUUCGUGCCAGCAGCCGCGGUAAUUC
rnacentral:rRNA from 1 species